CAGCAGCCGCGGGAAUACGUAGGGUGCGAGCGUUAAUCGGAAUUACUGGGCGUAAAGCGUGCGCAGGCGGUUAUAUAAGACAGAUGUGAAAUCCCCGGGCUCAACCUGGGACCUGCAUUUGUGACUGUGUAGCUAGAGUACGGUAGAGGGGGAUGGAAUUCCGCGUGUAGCAGUGAAAUGCGUAGAUAUGCGGAGGAACACCGAUGGCGAAGGCAAUCCCCUGGACCUGUACUGACGCUCAUGCACGAAAGCGUGGGGAGCAAACAGGAUUAGAGACCCGCGUAGUCCCUGUCUCUUAUAC
rnacentral:rRNA from 1 species